GACGAACGCUGGCGGCGUGCUUAACACAUGCAAGUCGAACGGAAAGGCCCUGCUUUUGUGGGGUGCUCGAGUGGCGAACGGGUGAGUAACACGUGAGUAACCUGCCCUUGACUUUGGGAUAACUUCAGGAAACUGGGGCUAAUACCGGAUAGGAGCUCCUGCUGCAUGGUGGGGGUUGGAAAGUUUCGGCGGUGGUGGAUGGACUCGCGGCUUAUCAGCUUGUUGGUGGGGUAGUGGCUUACCAAGGCUUUGACGGGUAGCCGGCCUGAGAGGGUGACCGGCCACAUUGGGACUGCGAUACGGCCCAGACUCCUACGGGAGGCAGCAGUGGGGAAUAUUGCACAAUGGGCGGAAGCCUGAUGCAGCAACGCCGCGUGCGGGAUGACGGCCUUCGGGUUGUAAACCGCUUUCGCCUGUGACGAAGCGUGAGUGACGGUAAUGGGUAAAGAAGCACCGGCUAACUACGUG
rnacentral:rRNA from 1 species